AAUUUCAGUUAAACUUGAAAUAGGGGAUAAUAAACCCUAGCAGCAAAUGAAAUUCAACCAGGUUCAAACUUAAAUCUUUUCAAAGACCCCAAAAUGCCCUUUGAAAAUGUUCAUGAUUUAUGAUAAAGGUGAAAACCCCUGCCAAAAAUGAUGAGCAUAUUUCUUGGCCAUUUAUGGAUUUUUGAAUUAAUUCAUAUUAUAUUUGAGUUGGAGAAAAUAUAUGUUAUAAAUAUAUUUAAUGCUUCAAUAACUCUGUUAUUUUGUGAGGGGCUUUAGAAUAUUCCUUUCAGUCCCUGCAAAAAUUAUCAGAAGAAACAAAAAUGAUUUAGUGCUUGAACUAAAUCAAAACAAAUUGAAACAAAUAGAAAACAGUAACUAAAAUAGAAAACAGAAAGGAGAGAGAAAGGUUUUACCUGGCGCUUACCCACAGCCCCGAGGCCCAGCACUGUGCAGCCCACCUGGCCUGGCCUUGUGCCGGCCCAGCCCACCUCCACCUCCCCUGUCGUCUUCCUCCCUAGGCUAGUAGGCAGAGCGUGUGCUCGCCGCGCGCGCACACGCGCCCGAGCCACCUCCUGACUGGCUACCUGCGUCCCCGACGCCCUGGACGCCUCCAUGCGUCGCCAUGCGCCCCCCCCCCGACCUCUCUCUCUCACGCCCGCAGCUCCUCCCCUCCUCUGGCUCGCUCUCCCUCUCUUCCCGAGCGCACCAGAGGGCGCCGCCAUGCUCUACCACGGCCACCGGCCACCCCACGCCUCGUCGACGCGCCAAGAAGCCCCGCCUAGUUCCCCUCUUCCUCCUCACCAAGGAGGAAGGCGCCGGAAGCCCUGGUUGCCGCCAGCUCCGCCGUUCCCCUCCUCGGCCAUCGAAGAUAGCCGCCGUCGAUUUGCCGCCGUUGACGCCUCCCUCGAGCUGCUGACCUGCUCCCCGACCCUGCUGUGAGAUUCUUCUUCGAACCUCUCUUCUUCCCCAUGAGUUUGCACCCUCUAGGCCCUAGUUCCACCAUGGCCGAAGCUCGCCUCCGCUCGAUCUUGUCGACAGCGUCGCUCCGGUGACCAUUUGGUCAUUCCGUGCUACCUAACAUGCUUACCGCACCGCGUAGUGCCUCGCUAGCACCUCAGUUCCCGCGUUUGCACGCCGCAGCCCCAACCCCGUACAUGGCCGAACUCCGGUGGCCGCAAAAGAGCUCGCCACCGUCAGCUCUGGCCACCUCAGCUCCAACCAACGCCACCAUUGGAUGCGCCACACCGUCAGCUACCCAUAGCACCCACCCGUGCAUCGAACCGUGGUCGGAGCACCAUUUCCGACGCUCUUCGCCGUCUUGGCCUCGCCGGCAACUCAACGCCGGCAGGUCUGACCCCGUCUGACUAGGGGUUUGACCUCUCUCUCUCACUGACGUGUGGGCCCCAGGCCAUUAACUAAACUAGGAUUAGCAUUAGUUUAACACUAACUAACUCAGUUAGUGGACUGAGUCACUGACCAGUGGGUCCCACUGGUCAGGUUUGACCUGGCCAGCCACGGUUGACCUGAUGACGUCACUCUUACGUCAUGCUGACGUAGUAAAAUCUUUUCUGGAUUUUUAAAUAAAUCUAAAUGAUUUAUUUAUUUUCAGAAAAUGCCUAAAACUUCUAAAAAUCAUAGAAAAUAAUCUAUAACUCAGAAUGAAAUAAUUUAUAUAUGAAAAAUUAUCAUAAAAAUUCAAGGAAUCUGUUUAUGGCCUUUUCAUGCAUGUUUGAACAAUGUUUGUUCUCUGUUUUAGACAAAACAAAUAAAUGGCAUUUAACUAAUCAUAUAUGGAGUUUGAAUUUGAAUCUUGUAUUCAAACCAACUUCAUUUAAUUGUGUUGCUAGUUGCAUUAGCUCAAUCAACAACAUAUUGCCAUGUCAUUAUCAUGCAUCAUGCUGUGCAUUGCAUUGAUUGUGUUCCUUCUCUGUUGCCGGUGGUUGUCCCCUCUCGGUAGACGUUGUACCGACAUUGUGAUCAUUGACACUGAUGAAGAUCCAAUGAUAUCUUCAGAAGUGCCAGGCAAGCAAAACCCCCUUGUUCAUUCCGAUACAAUCCCACUCUCUCGCUCCUGCUCUUUUUUACUGCAUUAGGACAACAUCGAAUCAUCUGUUAUUUGUUGCGGUAGUUGAACCCCUUAUCCUCUGCAUGACCUGUCAUUGCCACAGUAAAUAGAUGAAACCCACUAGCAUGAGUAGGAGUUGUUUGAGCCCUAAUGUGCCUACUCAUUCAUGCGUGUUUGUCAUGCCUGCUAUUGCAUAGAGUUGCACCAGGUCUGAUUCAUCGGGAAUGAAUCGGAGAAGUGUGAACAUGUCCUACUGUGUGAGCUAAGUGUGUGAACACGUUUUGGUAAAGGUAGCGGUGAGAGGCCAUGUAGGAGUACAUGGUGGGUUGUCUCAUUGAAACCGUCCUCGGGAACUAAGUUCUGUGUCUGUGAUCCAUGAACAACUACUACCACUCAUUGGGAUCCUUAUUGACCCUCUCGGCUUCUUAAUCACCAUCGUACUCUGUCUAGGAGUUGCAACUAGUUUCUGGUGUUUGUAGGUUAUGUGUUGGCAGCCGUGCGUAGCGCUGAACCUAGGGGUGGGCUAUGAUGCGGUAGAUACACUGUGGCACGGUGUACCGGGCGCCAGUUUGGUGUCUCGGGAACCCUGUUCACAUCGUUCGGGGCCGUAUGUGGAAACCUCGGCCGGACUCCCUGCGGAUGGAACCUUGAUAGACGAUAAACCUGGACUAGAGACUUAAGUGUUUAGGUAGGCCGUGGCCGACACCCUCGUUGGGCUUCCGCUUGAAGGUUGCCGAGUACAUGUCGUGUAAACGACGGUAAGUGGUGGGAGCGUGUGUGAAGAAGUACACCGCUGCAGGGUUAUCAAUACCCAUUCGAAUAGCCGGAUUCCUCGGAUAUGGAAACUUGGACCCCUUGCAUAGUUCAUAGACAAGUGAAAGUGGAUACUCUAAAACUCGCAAGAUAUGUGUGAGUGCUAUGGAUGGCCUUCUCGUAGGGAGACGGGAGCGGAUCCAUAGUGGUGUAUUGAAUGGUGAAUAUGUGGACUCAUGUGCGCCACCUCAAAAGAGUUGCUUGUAGUCGUAGUUCAGGUUAGCCACUGGGUCAAAGCUUGCUUGCUGUAGUUAAACUCCACUACCCCUUUGUUGAUACCGAUGCAUAUGUAGUUAGUUCUGAUGUAAGUCUUGCUGAGUACAAUUGUACUCACGUUUGCUUAAUUUAUGUUUUGCAGAGAGACGUCAGUCUCGCUAGUAGUUCCGUGUGGGCUUCGACGUUUAGCUUGAUACCUCAGCUACGAUCUUGUGCCCUCGGCAGGAUCUGGUAGAUAGUUAGGCUUCUCAGCCUUUUUCAUUUAUAGAUGUCUGUACUCAGACAUGUUAAGCUUCCACAUGUGCUUUGAUUUGUAUGCUCUGAAUGUUGGGUCAUGAGACCCAUGUUUGUAUUUCUGGCUCCUCGGAGCCUAAUGAAUAAAUACUUGAGUUGUAGAGUUACCUUGUGAUGCCAUGUUGUAUUUACACAUAUCGAGCAUAUUGUGUGUAUGAUUGAAAUGCUUGGUAUGUGUGGGAUCCGACAAUCUAGUUGUUUAUCCUUGGCAGCCUCUCUUAUGGGGAAAUGUAGUCUUGUGCUUCCAUGAGCCAUAGUAGUCCGCUACAACCUGGUUCACCGGAGUCCUGCUAGCCCAGCACUACUGCUCAGGACACUUGACUGGCCGGCAUGUGUUUCACUUCGUUCCUGUGUCUGUCCCUUCGGGGAAAUGUCACGCGGUGACAUCCGGAGUCCUGCCUAGCCUGCUAUAGCCCGGGUUAUCGGAGUCCUGUUAGCCCAGUGCUACAGCCCGGAUUCACACGCUACUGACCGACAUGCUCGAAGUUGAUUCAUGUAUGCCUGUCCCCAUGGGUUAGAGCCGCUUUGGGUUCACGACUAGCCGUGUCGGCCUGGGUUCUCUGUCAUAUGGGUGCUAGCGACACUAUCAUAUACGUGAGCCAAAAGGCGCAAACGGUCCCGGGCCAUGGUAAGGCGACACCUGUGGAAUACCGUGUGUGAGGCCGCAAAGUGAUAUGAGGUGUUACCAGCUAGAUCGAUCUGACUUGGAAUCAGGGUCCUGAUAGUGUUGGUAUCAGAGCCUGACUGUCUGUAGGAUUACCAAGCCAAACUGGCCGAAGUCGAGUCUAGAAAUGCUUUAGUUAUGUAAUGGAAUUGAUUGUGGAAGGGAACAUAAGGAUCUUUUUACUCCUUAUAUCUCAUGCCCUCUAAUCUGAGUCACCCUCUUCCUUUCUACGGGGUUAAGAAACUAGGCCUUCUCAUCUAUCUAUCAGGAUGACAUGUUACUAGCCCGUUGACUUAUAGGAUUGAUGGAUUCAUGGCGUAGUUCAGUUUCCAGUACUUCCAUGUGUUCAUAAUUGGUCUCGGAACCUUGAUAUUGUGAUGUUGAGUGGUUAUGCCACCAUUUUGCAGGAUGUCUCAAAUCUUUUUGAGCAAUUACAGCCGUUAUGCUGUCCGAGUCAUCCCAGGUUUCUAAGUAGUCUGAUGCAUUUGCAAACCCCUUCCUCCUGUUCCUGAUGUUCCUUUGAGCCAGUUCAACCACACUAAUCUGUGAGUUGAGGUACUCUAUUGCCUCGACAUAUAUGUUGGAGCUAUUACUAUGACCCUAGGUGUUUUAGGGAGUCACCUAGUAAUCUAGCCAUGUUUUGUAUUCCGGUGUGAUGAUUCUGGCCACCAUUCUCGAAAGCAUCCCGUGAUGCCAUGUAGUGGUAGGUAUUCUAUUCAUGGGUUCUUGAACCCGAGAUUCACCCUACUUACCUCAUGUUGAUAGUGUUGCUAGUUCCUUUAGGAUACUAGUAACCUUUGCAUUAGUCCUCGAGGUCCGUGGUAUAUUCUUCUUCCAAAUACUACGAACCGCCUAUGGCAGAAGUUCUUUGAACCAAAAGAUCACAACCAGAGUGCUCUUGAUGAGUUCUCCAUUCUUCAUUGUGAAUCUGCCAGUCCUACCAUUCUGCAUGGGUUGUCCAGAAGGAAUGUUGAGCUUUGCUCGACAUACUGAUCUAUGCAUCCACAACUCAGAAAAUUAUAUGUUCCUUUCAGUUGUCCCUCUUUAGUUGUAUUAUGACCCUAGUCCAUAAAUUGUUGGUCAAGAGUAGUUGUGCAUCGGUGUUAUCGAUGCCUGUUAUUCAUGUGAUCCGUCAAGCCAUUCUAUUCCGGAAUGACUAGGAGAAACAAACUCCAGUACCUCAUCCAUAUCUAGGAUUGGGUCAAAACAGUUGUAUUCCGCAGAUCAAAGUGCCAAACCAGCUUUUGUUCUGUUCUACCUUGGAGUGUUGCCUCCUUAUGUCAGAAUUGUCAUGAGAAUUGCACCACCUCUUAUGAACUCUUAAUGCAGUGAUACUUCUCGCCAUCAUCAUUCGCUCCUUGGAUCCAUGUUGUUGCAACCGGAAUACCGACAAGUGAACCGUGAUGUGUGAAAUCAAUACUCCUAGCAACUAGUUGCUUGGUAGUAAAUGGACAAUAUUCUCAUUCUUAGCGUGUUGGUUAUUGAACCAUCGUUCUGAGAUUGAUCGUGCUACCUAGUCUUUUUUCCGAUGCACUCUUCAAUCAAUGAGUUAGGAUUAUUCAAUCCCUUGCUUAUUUGAUCAUGUCGUCUUGCUCUGAAGAGCAAGAUUGUUCUCGAGCUUAGUAACAUAUCGGUGGUUCAUGAUUUUCUGAAGAUCUUCUCAAAAAUAUUACCUGGCUGUCACCUAACUGCUAUGUUGAGUUCGUGAUCAAGUUGGUUUUCUUAUAAAUCACCCCUUCUCCAAGAAUCUGUGUUGGAUAUCCCUGAGCUAGUUGGUUGGGCUAGACAACCACUUGGAGAUCAGUUGGAGAUAAAAGCUUGUCUGACUUAUUUUGUGUUAAGGGAUAUCUUUGUGUGUGUGUGUGUGUGUGUGUUGAAGAAAAAUGAUAUAUUCAUCGAUUGUUCCUCGUGACCGGUUGUUGGAUCUAUUGUAUUGUCAAAACUUUGACUCGAGUAUGGGCUAUUGUCAAGUCAAAUCAGAACCAACGAUGUUCAUAAUGUUGUCUUGCUUGUGGCUGAUUCCUCAAGCAUACACCAUUACAUCCUUUGGUCUGACCAACACUAUCACCGUGUUCACAUGAUGGUGGAAGUCCAGUGAUAUGGAAAUUUCGAUGAGUUGUUGUUGAGCCCAUCAGCAACAUUUUGUCUCCCCCAUGAUUCAUGUUGAACAUCAACCUAGUGUUGGAAAUUUUAUAAGCAAUGCCUUCGUAUUCCGUUCAUGAAGCUUAUGCUUGGAUGGAAGAAGUGACUUCCUCGAAUUCAUGUGCAUUUGGUGCAAGUUACCGCCGUGAGUUCGAGAAAGAUUGUUUUUGUUUUCCCUGGUACCAUUCCAAGUCAGUUAUGCAUGUGUGAAUGUAUUCUAUGGUUUGGUAGAUUAAUUACCUCCACUCCAUGUGUAUUCCGUAGCACACCAAGCCACUGAUUGAAUUGUUCAAGGCAAAGAAGUCUAUGCUUGGGAUCUAAUCCAUGGACUUGCGUAAGACUUCAAAAUCCUUGAUGAUGGUUCCCCACCUGAACUCGAUAGUGUUUUACUAUAAGACUACUACGUGGUCAUGCUCGUCUUGGAUAGCGUGUUCACAAGUUUGUAGCAGAACCGGCUCAUGUUUUGGAGCUUGCUAUCGCAGUUCAUUCCCCGAGAAUCUCGCAACGUCAUCUCGUCAAAUUGUGUUGCAAACUCCCAUUUUCUUUCUAGACUGGAUGGGUCUGGAAUAUCCUAACACCAACCAGAUCUGAAUCUCAGGCAGAUAUGAUGGUUGGAACGUACUCCAAGAACUAUAAUGUUGGUCUCUCUAUAACCGGUAACGUGGAUGUCGUGGCCAACGCACCUAGCCGGAAGGCCUAUUAUUGUAGUAUCCUGGUUGAAGAAGUUGGUCACCUCCCAAUAAGGAUCUCGCAGGAUUUGCCUAUGUAGUUAUUCCUUAUGGAUUCUUGAGCUUCCGAAGUCCGACCUUUUACUUGAUGUUCUAGAUAUCAAACCAUAUCUAUAAAUGGAUUACGCUAGCACAUCAAGGAGAACAUUAGAAGCAGAGUGCUAAAUGUCUCUCGGUCGAUCGUCCAGAUUCUGUUCCCUUAGCCUCGCUAAGGGAAGAUCUGAGAAGGUGUUAUCUUCCUUUGUAUCCGCAUCAUCCAUCACUAGUCAUCAUGGUAGUAUGUCGUGUUGCCAGGAUCCUUGCCACGGAUGUUGGUAGAACCUUGAUGAAUAUGGAAAUGCUCAAGUUCUUGAGAGCACGCGUAAGCAAAAUCAUCCCUUGCAUUGUCUUCAACAAGGUAGUCCACAUCAUCCAUCCUAGUCCGAGUAUGCCAUCUCUUCGAGCUAUCUCAAACGAUCAAUUGUAAAUUGCCUUAAGUUGGUAUGAAGAGUUUCAAUGAUUUAUGGAUCAAAAGUAAUUCUUUUUGCCACUUAAGGGAACAGUUCAAUGAGUCACCUUCUCCGAGGUGCCCUGUUAUGGGUUCAUGACAAUUAUCUCCUCGCAACUUUGAAACCUUGCACCACCUUACUCAAGCGUGGAAUUGCUACCUACCAACUUGAGUCCUCGUCGUCUGAUUUCCAUCACCCUGAUGUGAACUUUGUGUCUCAAUUGGAGAGAUGUUCCUAUGUCUCACUCCAUAUGUUGAUCCUGAGUUGUUUGAUCUUCGAGAAGAUCGAUCCUUCUAGAGUUUUCCCUUCCCUCUCGCUGUCAUGUUGGUUGGAGUUCUGAGAGCAAGACAUCGAGACAAAGAUGGUGAUCGAACCAACGUUCUUAUGAAGAGCAACUUGGAUCGUGAAGAUUGAGUUAAGUCUGCGUCCCCCUUCAUCUUACCCUAUGCUUGAAUCUCGGGACGAGAUUCUUGUUUAGUGGGGGUGAGUUGUCACAUCCCUAGUUCUGGCAAUGCUUAGAGCUAGCAUCUGGUGUUGCAUCAUGUCUAAAAUUUUAGUUAAACUUGAAAUAGGGGAUAAUAAACCCUAGCAGCAAAUGAAAUUCAACCAGGUUCAAACUUAAAUCUUUUCAAAGACCCCAAAAUGCCCUUUGAAAAUGUUCAUGAUUUAUGAUAAAGGUGAAAACCCCUGCCAAAAAUGAUGAGCAUAUUUCUUGGCCAUUUAUGGAUUUUUGAAUUAAUUCAUAUUGUAUUUGAGUUGGAG
rnacentral:lncRNA from 1 species